GCGUUUAGAGAAGGAGAUGAUGAUAAAGGGGCAUCAUUAGAAUCAACCACUGUAGAAGCGAAGGGGAGGAAUCAGAACUGAGCAAAGGAGGCGGGCACCUUACCGUGAAGUCUUGACCGCCUCACCAGACCUCGGAAUCAUCUGGAGCGAAAGUGACCCUUCAGAGCUGUCCAGCUUCAGAACAAAGCCAAUGAGCCUUGAUAGUUAUGCCUCCAUCGGUCACUGGACGUGAAAUGAGCCUGGAAGGACAUGUCUCAAAGCGAGACAGCCACGCUCUUGAGACAAUCACUCAACAGGUUUUCUUCAAUUGGUUUUACUAUGAUCACAAAUUCCUUUUUUGUUUUUAACUGCCAUUUACCAAAACGGGAAAGAUAUGGACACCAACUUGAAUAACAGGAUAACAGGAGCAUGUACACUUAUUGUUGCCCUGGACAACAAUGAGAAGGAGUCUGCUGGUGUUCUGGCCCCAUUUGGGGCCUUGUUACUAAUGACCAAUACUCUUCAAGCCAUAAGAUACAGAGACCUGAAGAAACAGGCUGUAAACUCUAAGCUAGCUCAGGAAAUUCUCGAAGGACAUGAAAGUCUAGUUUUAAUCCUGCUGUCUUGCUUGUCUUCUCAUGCGGCCUUUCCGUCAGCAGAAGCCUGAAUCGGGUGGGUGAGAAAGGCACUAACUAUAGGAUGAAGAACAGAGCCAAAACUGCAAGAGACUGAUGAAAGAAACUGAUGACACAGACAGAUGGAAAGACACCCUGUACCGAUAGACUGGAAGAAUGAACACUGUUCAAUUGACCACAGUGCCCAAAGCAACCUAUAGCUUCAACGCACUCCCCACUUGAAUACCAAUAGCUUUGUUCACAGAACUAAAACAAGUAAUUUUAAAAGCUGUAUGGAAACAUGAAAGACCCCAAAUAACCAAGACAGUCUUAAGAAGAACAAAGCUGGAGGUAUCAGGCACUCUGAUUUCAAACUAUACUACAAAGCUACAGUCAUCAAAACAGUAUGGUGUCGGCACAGAAGCAGACACACAGAUCAGCAGAACAGACCAGAGAGCCCAGAAAUGAAUCCACCUUUCCUUGGGAAACUAAUCUAUGACAGAGAAGGCAAGAAUAUACAAUGGGGCAAAGGCAGUCCCCUCAAUAAAUGGUGAGGGGAAAGUUGUACAGCCACAUUCAAAACAAUCAAACUGGAUGAGUUUCUCACACCAUAAAGAAAUACAUCCAAAAUGAAUUAAAGACUUAAAUAUAAGACCUGAAACCAUAAAACGUCUACAAGAAAACACAGGCAGUAUGCUCUUUGACAUCUUAGCAAAAUUUUUGGAUGUCUCCUCAGGUAAGGGAACAAAGCAAAAACAAGCAAACAGGAAUGCAUCAAAUUAAAAAGCUUUUGUAGAGUAAAGGAAACUGUUAAAAAAAAAAAAAAAAAGCCACCUACUGAAUGAAAGAAGACAUUUGCAAAUGACAUAUCGGAUACCGGUUAAUAUGCAAAAUAUACAAAGAACUCCUACAACUCAAC
ensembl:lncRNA